rnacentral:rRNA from 1 species
GACGAACGCUGGCGGCGUGCCUAAUACAUGCCAGUUGAGCGCUGAAGGUUGGUACUUGUACCGACUGGAUGAGCAGCGAACGGGUGAGUAACGCGUGGGGAAUCUGCCUUUGAGCGGGGGACAACAUUUGGAAACGAAUGCUAAUACCGCAUAAAAACUUUAAACACAAGUUUUAAGUUUGAAAGAUGCAAUUGCAUCACUCAAAGAUGAUCCCGCGUUGUAUUAGCUAGUUGGUGAGGUAAAGGCUCACCAAGGCGAUGAUACAUAGCCGACCUGAGAGGGUGAUCGGCCACAUUGGGACUGAGACACGGCCCAAACUCCUACGGGAGGCAGCAGUAGGGAAUCUUCGGCAAUGGACGAAAGUCUGACCGAGCAACGCCGCGUGAGUGAAGAAGGUUUUCGGAUCGCAAAACUCUGUUGGUAGAGAAGAACGUUGGUGAGAGUGGAAAGCUCAUCAAGUGACGGUAACUACACAGAAAGGGACGGCUAACUACGUG